rnacentral:lncRNA from 9 species
GCUUUUAGAACUCCCCAAGCCCGGAAUGUAACCAGACCAAUUAAUUCAGAAUCCCUCCGGAGAGACUCAAGCAUCAGUAUUUUAAAAGUUCCCUGGGUGAUUACAGAGUUCAGCCUGGCCUGAGAGCUACGUUCCAGAUUAAGCACUGCCUGAGGAGGGCCUCUGUGGUGGCACACUCCUACCUACACCCUUGGGUAAUGCCCUCCCCUGAGGGUGGCCUGAACCUGCAGAGCUGCUUCUCACGGAGAGAAUACAACAAAAGUGAGGAGACCUCCCUUCAGAGAUCAGGUUACAAAAGGCUGCAACUUCUGAGCUGCUCAGACUUUCUCUCUGGCUCUUCUUUCGCUCUGAGGAAGCCAGCUGCUGCGUUGUGAGAGCAGAGCAGAGAGGCCCCCUGGCAAGGAACAGAGGCUGCCCCCCUGCUGGUGGCCCUUCAGGGAUUUGUGAUGGUCAGUUGUAUGUGUCGGCCUGGCCAGACUAUUCAAUGAAACGCUCAUCCAGGUGUUACCGUGAAGGUAUUUUGAAGAUGGAAUGACCACAUCAAGUCAGUUGACUUUAUGCCAAGGAGAUAUUCCUGGAUAAUCUAGGUCAGAUUCAAUGAACUGAAAGCCUUAAAAACAGAGCUGAGGUUUCCCGGAGGAGAUGGAGUGUAGCAUCAACUCCAGCCGGAAAGAUUACACCUGCCUUUCUGACAGCCUGCCUUAUAGAUUUCAGACUUACCUGGCCAGCCACCGCAGUUACCUGAGGCAAUUCCUUGCACUAUCUACACCUAGAGACAGAUGGAGAUGUGGAUGCUGAUUGAGUGGGGGUGCAGGUGCAGCACCCACAGCCACCCAUACCUGAGGAUCCAGGUGUAGAUGUGGCCACGGACAUGGACAAAGCUAUAUGCUACGGACUCUGUUUCCUGGUGGAGCCCAAACUUAUACAGACCUGAAUCCAGUCAACAACCACUAAGUGAGCUUGGGUGUGGAUCCACCACAUGUCCAACCUUCAGAUGAGCUGCAAGCCACCAACUUGAUUGCCGGCGUAUGAGAGAUAUUCAGCUAAGCUAUAUCUGGAUUCUUAGAGAAACUAGGAGAUGAUAAAUGUUGUUGGGUUAAGCUGUUGUCAUGAUAAUUUGAUACCCAGCAACAGCUAACUAAUACAGCCAUCACUUCAGACUGUGCAGGAUGUGGCCUUCCCCAAGGCAGUUAGCUAAGAGGCCAGGAGGAAGGGACCUUUUUCUAUUUUAUGCAAAGGAAAUCCUGUGGGAUGGCAAUGGCCCUGAGUUGAGGAUAAGGAGAGGAUGGGUCUCUUCAUUUUACUAAUGAAAAAAUAAACUCCUGGGAGACUCAGUCUCAGGGAGAUUAAGCAUCUUACCCAGUGUCAAGAGCCAGGAUUAGGAACCAGGAAUUGAGUUCCAGUCUAGAUUUUUCUAGUAAGCUAUUCGCCACCUAGAUUCCUGGGUCUAUAUCCCUACGCUGCCCUGUGGCACUGGUGGUCCCCACUGUGGUGCUCUUGCUUUUUGACACAGCAGAAUGAACCUCAUCUUGUCCAUUUUCUGCUCCAGAUGAUGAGUCAGUCUUUUUUUUUUUUUUUUUUCUCAGAAUACUCUGAUUGCUUUCAUGAGAAAGUUGUAUUAGAAGCCACAAUCUGGGUGUCAUUGCUUCUUGGUCUUUCUGUUUUUGUUUUGUUUUGUUUUGUUCAAUGGCCACACCCACGGGUCACAGAAGUUCUGGGUCAGGGAUCCAAUCCAAGCUGCAGCUGCAACCUCGGCCACAGCUGCAGCAAUAGUGGAUCCUUGACCCACUUUGCUACAGCAGGAACUCUGCCGCUUGGUCUUUUUGAUGGACAGAGCUAGGAACUAUUUUUUAAGAGAAAAAAAAAAGAUCAUAAGACUAUUCUGAUAUAUUUCAUUCAAAUUUCAUAUUAGAAGGUUUUUAUUUAACGUCUUUAAUUUUAUGCUUUCUCUUACGCUAGAAAUCUUGAUUUCUAGUGACCGUCCAAUAAAUAUGUAUUUGCUUUACAUUAAUAACAAAUAAUGGUCUCAUAAUAACAAUAUUAAUAUUACUACUAAUAGUAAGAGUUUUGAAUGAAGAUUUAUUGGCUCCUCUUUUGAUCCUCAGAACAAUUUUUCCUAGAGCUGUAGACUCAAAAUAUUGUUUCCAGUUACACCAAGGAGGUUUUUUCUGUGUGGUUCUGCUACAACCGGAUAGAGACAGGGUUAAUUGCUCUCGGUUUUUAGGAAUUGCUUUUUAUCUGACUUCUAUUUCAUUAGUUAAACUACACGACACAAGUGCAUGUUUCUGAACUGAGCAGGACCCUGUGAGGCCCUCCCAGAAUAGACCUCCCCCUACUCAAGUCCGCUGCCUGCCUUUUGUCUAUAGAAAAACUUUAGUCAAAGAAGCCCUAUAAUCAGAGAAGUGAGAAAAUACAGAGAAAAAGGAAAACAGUCCAGCAAGGCAAAAUAGGAAUAUAGCCAUUUAAAGAAGUCAAGGACCUUUUAGUUAGUUCUUCUUUAAGGACUAUAGAUAAGAGUUCCCGUCGAGGCACAGCAGAAACGAAACUGACUAGGAACCAUGAGGUGGCUGGUUGGAUCCCUGGCCUUGCUCAGUGGGUUAAGGAUCCAGCGUUGCUGUGGGCUGUGGUCUAGGUUGCAGAGGCGGCUCGGAUCUGACACUGCUGUGACUCUGGCGCAAGCUGGCAGCUGCAGCUCCGAUUUGGACCCCUAGCCAGAGAACCUCCAUCUGCUGUGGGUGCGGCUCUAAAAGGACAAAAGCCAAAAAAAAAAAA